rnacentral:rRNA from 1 species
GUUGACCUCGGAUCAGUAGGAUACCCGCUGAACUUA